GACGGAGGAUGCAAGCGUUAUCCGGAAUGAUUGGGCGUAAAGCGUCUGCAGGUGGCAGUUCAAGUCUGCUGUCAAAGACCGGGGCUUAACUUCAGAAAGGCAGUGGAAACUGAACAGCUAGAGUAUGGUAGGGGUAGAGGGAAUUCCCGGUGUAGCGGUGAAAUGCGUAGAGAUCGGGAAGAACAUCGGUGGCGAAAGCGCUCUACUGGACCGCAACUGACACUCAGGGACGAAAGCUAGGGGAGCGAAUGGG
rnacentral:rRNA from 1 species